CCUACGGGCGGCAGCAGUGAGGAAUAUUGGUCAAUGGGCGGGAGCCUGAACCAGCCAAGUCGCGUGAGGGAAGACGGUCCUAUGGAUUGUAAACCUCUUUAGGCGGGGAGCAAGGCCGGGCACGCGUGCCCGGAGGGAGAGGACCCGCAGAAGAAGCAGCGGCGAACUCCGUGCCAGCAGCCGCGGUAAUACGGAGGAUGCGAGCGUUAUCCGGAUUGAUUGGGUUUAAAGGGUGCGUAGGCGGAUUUUUAAGUCAGCGGUAAAAUGUCCGGGCUCAACCCGGGCCGGCCGUUGAAACUGGGGAUCUUGAGUGGGCGAGAAGUAUGCGGAAUGCGUGGUGUAGCGGUGAACUGCAUAGAUAUCACGCAGAACUCCGAUUGCGAAGGCAGCCUACCGGCGCCCGCCUGACGCUGAGGCACGAAAGCGUGGGGAUCGAACAGGAUUAGAUACCCUUGUAGUC
rnacentral:rRNA from 1 species